rnacentral:rRNA from 1 species
CAGUAGCCGCGGUAAUACGGAGGGGGCUAGCGUUGUUCGGAAUUACUGGGCGUAAAGCGCACGUAGGCGGCUUGGUAAGUUAGAGGUGAAAGCCCGGAGCUCAACUCCGGAAUUGCCUUUAAGACUGCCGAGCUAGCAGGUGAGAGAGGUAAGUGGAAUUCCGAGUGUAGAGGUGAAAUUCGUAGAUAUUCGGAAGAACACCAGUGGCGAAGGCGGCUUACUGGCUCAUACUGGACGCUGAGGUGCGAAAGCGUGGGGAGCAAACAGGAUUAGAUACCCGCGUAGUCCCUGUCUCUUAUAC